rnacentral:rRNA from 1 species
AGUGAACGCUGGCGGUAGGCCUAACACAUGCAAGUCGAACGGCAGCACAGUAAGAGCUUGCUCUUACGGGUGGCGAGUGGCGGACGGGUGAGGAAUACAUCGGAAUCUACUUUUUCGUGGGGGAUAACGUAGGGAAACUUACGCUAAUACCGCAUACGACCUACGGGUGAAAGCAGGGGAUCUUCGGACCUUUCGCGAUUGAAUGAGCCGAUGUCGGAUUAGCUAGUCGGCGGGGUAAAGGCCCACCAAGGCGACGAUCCGUAGCUGGUCUGAGAGGAUGAUCAGCCACACUGGAACUGAGACACGGUCCAGACUCCUACGGGAGGCAGCAGUGGGGAAUAUUGGACAAUGGGCGAAAGCCUGAUCCAGCCAUACCGCGUGGGUGAAGAAGGCCUUCGGGUUGUAAAGCCCUUUUGUUGGGAAAGAAAAGCAGCAGGUUAAUACCCCGCUGUUCUGACGGUACCCAAAGAAUAAGCACCGGCUAACUUCGUG